GAUUACAUGCCUGAGCCACCAGACUCGGCGAAACUGAAGGUAAGUCUUUUAGAGGCAUCCCCUCAGAUGGCAGAGCUAAGAAGUACCAGAAUAUCAGAUUCAAGGCCUAAAGCCAGAUCUCCCAGGAACUGGCUAGUAGAGUCCCAACAGCCAUUUCUGACAGAGCAGGAGCCAUGUUCAGGACUCCCGCCCUGUUUGACCCUAAAGAUCUAGAACCAGGCCAGGGGGCAAGGAGCAUCCUCCUAGGUGGCCAGCAGGCAGCCACGCUCACCUUCAAGAAAACAGGCUGAGAGCUCGCACCAGGCAAGCUGAGGAAGUGGACACAGCCAGGGGCCCCACCUCCCUCCCUGCAGAGGCCUGGAGGAGAGGCUUCACAAUUCAGGGAGACCGAGGGCUCCAGGCCACCACCAGGGGGCAGCUGGGGACUGCGGCCUGGCCAGGCCAGCUGGGGCAGGGUCGGCAGAGUCGACAAGCUCUAUCUGGUGAUUAACAUAUAAAUAUGUAGAAAUUAUUUUUUUUACUGGAGAUGAUAUUCUCUUAAUAUAACUUCCCAUGCUGUAAUUU